GACGAACGCUGGCGGCGUGCCUAAUACAUGCAAGUUGAGCGCUGAAGGUUGGUACUUGUACCAACUGGAUGAGCAGCGAACGGGUGAGUAACGCGUGGGGAAUCUGCCUUUGAGCGGGGGACAACAUUUGGAAACGAAUGCUAAUACCGCAUAAAAACUUUAAACACAAGUUUUAAGUUUGAAAGAUGCAAUUGCAUCACUCAAAGAUGAUCCCGCGUUGUAUUAGCUAGUUGGUGAGGUAAAGGCUCACCAAGGCGAUGAUACAUAGCCGACCUGAGAGGGUGAUAGGCCACUUUGGGACUGAGACACGGCCCCAACUCCUAGGGGAGGCAGCAGUAGGGAAUCUUCGGCAAUGGACGAAAGUCUGACCGAGCAACGCCGCGUGAGUGAAGAAGGUUUUCGGGUCGUAAAACUCUGUUGGUAGAGAAGAACGUUGGUGAGAGUGGAAAGCUCAUCAAGUGACGGUAACUACCCAGAAAGGGACGGCUAACUACGUG
rnacentral:rRNA from 1 species